rnacentral:rRNA from 1 species
AGUGAACGCUGGCGGUAGGCCUAACACAUGCAAGUCGAACGGCAGCACAGUAAGAGCUUGCCCUUACGGGUGGCGAGUGGCGGACGGGUGAGGAAUACAUCGGAAUCUACUUUUUCGUGGGGGAUAACGUAGGGAAACUUACGCUAAUACCGCAUACGACCUACGGGUGAAAGCAGGGGAUCUUCGGACCUUGCACGAUUGAAUGAGCCGAUGUCGGAUUAGCUAGUUGGCGGGGUAAAGGCCCACCAAGGCGACGAUCCGUAGCUGGUCUGAGAGGAUGAUCAGCCACACUGGAACUGAGACACGGUCCAGACUCCUACGGGAGGCAGCAGUGGGGAAUAUUGGACAAUGGGCGCAAGCCUGAUCCAGCCAUACCGCGUGGGUGAAGAAGGCCUUCGGGUUGUAAAGCCCUUUUGUUGGGAAAGAAAAGCAGCAGGUUAAUACCCCGCUGUUCUGACGGUACCCAAAGAAUAAGCACCGGCUAACUUCGUG